rnacentral:miRNA from 1 species
UGGGCAAGUCAUCCUGGCUACCC